rnacentral:rRNA from 1 species
AUACGUAGGUGGCAAGCGUUGUCCGGAAUUAUUGGGCGUAAAGCGCGCGCAGGCGGUCUUUUAAGUCUGAUGUGAAAGCCCCCGGCUCAACCGGGGAGGGUCAUUGGAAACUGGGAGACUUGAGUACAGAAGAGGAGAGUGGAAUUCCACGUGUAGCGGUGAAAUGCGUAGAUAUGUGGAGGAACACCAGUGGCGAAGGCGACUCUCUGGUCUGUAACUGACGCUGAGGCGCGAAAGCGUGGGGAGCAAACAGGAUUAGAUACCCUGGUAGUCCACGCCGUAAACGAUGAGUGCUAGGUGUUAGGGGUUUCGAUGCCCUUAGUGCCGAAGUUAACACAUUAAGCACUCCGCCUGGGGAGUACGACCGCAAGGUUGAA